GACAGAGGGUGCAAACGUUGUUCGGAAUUACUGGGCGUAAAGCGCGUGUAGGCGGCCCUGUAAGUCGGGUGUGAAAUCCCACGGCUCAACCGUGGAAGUGCACUCGAAACUACAGGGCUAGAGUCCUGGAGAGGAAGGUGGAAUGCUUGGUGUAGAGGUGAAAUUCGUAGAUAUCAAGCGGAACACCGGUGGCGAAGGCGGCCUUCUGGACAGUGACUGACGCUGAGAAGCGAAAGCAUGGGGAGCGAACAGG
rnacentral:rRNA from 1 species